rnacentral:misc_RNA from 1 species
AAGUCGUAACAAGGUUUCCGUAGGUGAACCUGCGGAAGGAUCAUUAACACGUAUCCACCCUUUACAAACACCAACCCGAUACUCGAACUUCGUCAGGGUUCGCUCUUGAUCUUUGACUGAGCUUCAAGACUCGAGAAACACGCAUGGAACCGGUGAAAGUUUGAGACCCUUUGGGACUCGCUGCAACCUGGGGUCUAGUGUUUCUUUUGAGACUUAUUGCAUCUCGAGGUCAAUGAGACUGUGUCUUUGACGUUUUUGUAAACGGCUUUGACACUGCUGACUUGAAGGUCUUGUAUCACCCUUUUUACUCAAUGAACCUAAUUUUCAGUAUACUUGACUUUAGCUUGAAGAACUUCGUGAUCUUCGCUUAUGUCAUUUAUAAAACUAAGUACAACUCUUAGCAACGGAUGUCUUGGUUCUC